CCUACGGGAGGCAGCAGUGGGGAAUCUUGCGCAAUGGGCGAAAGCCUGACGCAGCCAUGCCGCGUGAAUGAUGAAGGUCUUAGGAUUGUAAAAUUCUUUCAGUAGGGACGAUAAUGACGGUACCUACAGAAGAAGCCCCGGCUAACUUCGUGCCAGCAGCCGCGGUAAUACGAAGGGGGCUAGCGUUGCUCGGAAUUACUGGGCGUAAAGGGAGCGUAGGCGGGUUAUCAAGUUGGAGGUGAAAGCCCAGGGCUCAACCUUGGAAUUGCCUUCAAAACUGAUAGCCUAGAGUAUGAUAGAGGUAUGUGGAACUCCGAGUGUAGAGGUGAAAUUCGUAGAUAUUCGGAAGAACACCAGUGGCGAAGGCGACAUACUGGGUCAUGACUGACGCUGAGGCUCGAAAGCGUGGGGAGCAAACAGGAUUAGAUACCCUGGUAGUCCACGCUGUAAACGAUGAUUGCUAGUUGUCGGGCGGCAUGCCGUUCGGUGACGCAGCUAACGCAUUAAGCAAUCCGCCUGGGGAGUACGGUCGCAAGAUUAAAACUUAAAGGAAUUGACGG
rnacentral:rRNA from 1 species